GUUCAGGGAAGCCUAAUGGACAUGGCAUCUGCCCGGUAAGCGGAACAUUGUGGGUUCGAUUCCCAUCCCUGGACA
rnacentral:tRNA from 1 species